rnacentral:rRNA from 1 species
GGAAUGGGCGAAUGGAAUUCCCAGUGGAGCAGUGAAAUGCGUUGAUAUUGGGAGGAACAUCAGUGGCGAAGGCGAUUCGCUGGUCCUUGUCUGACGCUAAGGCUCGAAAGCGUGGGUAGCAAAACGGAUUAGAUACCCGUGUAGUCCACGCUGUAAACAAUGGAUGCUAGGUGUUUGGUAUGACCACUUUCUAUCUUCGGAUUCUAAGUGGAAGUACCAAGUGCCGCAGCUAACGCGUUAAGCAUCCCGCCUGGGAAGUACGGCCGCAAGGCUAAAACUCAAAUGAAUUGGCGGGGACCCGCACAAGCGGAGUAGCGCGUGGUUUAAUUCGAUGGCAAUCGAACAACCUUACCAGGGUUUGACAUGUAUCUGCAUAUCUUUGGAAACAUAGAUAGCCUUCGAGGGUGAUACACAGGUACUGCAUGGCCGUCGUCAGCUCGUGUCGUGAGAUGUAGGGUUAAGUCCCGAAACGAGCGCAACCCCUAUCCCAUGUUACAAGUGUCUUGGGAAACUGCCUCGGUAAAACGGGGAGGAAGGUGGGGAUGACGUCUGGUCCGCAUAGUCCUUAUGUCCUGGGCUACACACACGCUACAAUGGUCGGUACAAUGGGCAGCCAAGCCGCAAGGCGGAGCUAAUCCUUUAAAGCCGAUCUCAGUUCGGAUUGUGGGCUGAAACCCGCCCGCAUGAAGUUGGAUUCGCUAGUAAUCGUGGAUCAGCCAUGCCACGGUGAAUACGUUCCCGGGCCUUGCACACACCGCCCGUCAAGCCAUGGAAGUAGGU